rnacentral:rRNA from 1 species
UACGAAGGGUGCAAGCGUUACUCGGAAUUACUGGGCGUAAAGGGUGCGUAGGCGGUUAGUUUAGUCUGUUGUGAAAUCCCCGGGCUCAACCUGGGAAUGGCAAUGGAUACUGGCUGGCUAGAGUGUGUCAGAGGAUGGUGGAAUUCCCGGUGUAGCGGUGAAAUGCGUAGAGAUCGGGAGGAACAUCAGUGGCGAAGGCGGCCAUCUGGGACAACACUGACGCUGAAGCACGAAAGCGUGGGGAGCAAACAGG